GACGAACGCUGGCGGCGUGCCUAAUACAUGCAAGUAGAACGCUGAAGGAGGAGCUUGCUUUUCUGGAUGAGUUGCGAACGGGUGAGUAACGCGUAGGUAACCUGCCUGGUAGCGGGGGAUAACUAUUGGAAACGAUAGCUAAUACCGCAUAACAGUAGAUGUUGCAUGACAUUUACUUAAAAGGUGCAAUUGCAUCACUACCAGAUGGACCUGCGUUGUAUUAGCUAGUUGGUGGGGUAACGGCUCACCAAGGCGACGAUACAUAGCCGACCUGAGAGGGUGAUCGGCCACACUGGGACUGAGACACGGCCCAGACUCCUACGGGAGGCAGCAGUAGGGAAUCUUCGGCAAUGGACGGAAGUCUGACCGAGCAACGCCGCGUGAGUGAAGAAGGUUUUCGGAUCGUAAAGCUCGGUUGUAAGAGAAGAACGAGUGUGAGAGUGGAAAGUUCACACUGUGACGGUAUCUUACCAGAAAGGGACGGCUAACUACGUG
rnacentral:rRNA from 1 species